AGGAGCCAGGACAUGCGGGCUGCCGCCAGAAAGCUGGAGGGGACAACGGAGCAGAGUGUCUCCUAGAGCUUCCACGAGGAGCCAGCCCUGCAGAGACCUCCACUUUGGUACCACGCACGCCGGGUGUCUGACCUCCAGAACUGUAAGAUACUAGGGCUCAAGAAUAUGCGAAGCUUUGCUGGUCACCUGCACAAUUACUCAGCUCUGCCAUUACAACACGAGAGCCUCUAGGAACAAUACUUCAAUGAAUGGGCACAGCUGUGUUCCAAUAAAACUUUAUUUGCAAAGCUUAGGAAAUAUGAAAGUGUAAUUAUAUCAUACUCGGAGAAGACAGGACAGAGGAACGCAGGAAGUGCUGGUGAGGCCCGGAGGGGUGUCUGCUCCCCCCUAAAUGGGGGCUGUGGUGGGGUGAACAGGCUUGGAGUGUGGGGAGGGUCUGGGAGCUUUCUCAGGUGGUGGUGCUAAAGAUGGAUUUUGAGGGCAAAGUAGGAGUUUCAGGAGGUUGAAGCCAGAAGAGUUUUCAGGGGAAACCAAAGUCACGUGCAAAGGUAUGGACACGCGGCGGAGCUGCAGUGCGCGGGUCCCUGCCUAAGUCCGGGGGCCGACUUCAGUGGCAGAGGAAGCCGGGGAGGUGGGCUGGGGCCGUGUCAUGAGCACUCCCCCGCUGUGUGCAGAGGAGCCGGGUUUCUCCCGCAGGUGCUGUGGAGCCCCUGUGGAGUGUCAAGCGGGCGAGACCUGCCCAGAACCGGGGGGAUGGUGAGAAGGAGGCGUGGGAGGUAGGUAGAAGCCCGGGUGACCUUUGGAUGCCCAGGGUCGGCCCUGGCCUCAGUGCCCUUGGAUGAGAUCCGAGCCCUCUGUGAGUUUGGUCCAGAGCCUUACUCUUUAGAGCCCUCUAGGUUCCCCUGUUCCAUCUCGGCGACCUUGGAUUGGCUGGCAGAUUCCCCAUCCUGCAUGCCUGGCUCAGCUUCUUCGCCUGGGAAGCGGUAGUGCCAGCGACACCCCGCCCCCGCUGACAGAGAGCACCGGGCGGUUCGAUGGUCUGGUUCACGUGCCGGCCCGGCCAGGCUGGAGUGCACGGUGUUCCUUCAGUGACUAAAUGCUAAUCUGGGCGCUGCUGCGGAGGUGUUUUGAAGAGUCAUGGAGAGAACUGAGACUCCUGUUAACCUAAACCCUGGGGCAUCGUGUUGGCCACCGGGCCCUGGAGGUGCUCGGUCCGGACCCUCAGGUGUGCAUCAGGACACUCAAAGGCCCUCAGGGCGCCUGCUUCACUCCAGCUCCGCGGCAGCAAAACCUUGAAGAAGAAUAGGAGGUUGGACCAGAGCAUUGCAACCUAGCCGAGAAGCUGAAUCCAGCGAGGGCCAUGAGAACUUGGGAAGUUCUCAGCGCGCGCUGCCAGAGGCUGGCUCGGCAGUCUCUCCACUCAGCCCCAGCCUCGUGUGUGAGACCAAGGGGUGCAGAAAGAUGUGAAUUCACCUGCGAGGGAAAGAUGGGGUAGCGCCCCCCAAGAAAAGAUCAACCGGAGAUGCCGUGGGCUGAGGAUGCCUCACGCUCUGCUCUGGUUGCUAAACCUCUGACUGUAUUUGCAAGAUGUAGUGAAUAAAAACACAGGAUGCACCCUGGCUGGCAUAGCUCAGUGGAUUGAGCGCGGGCUGCGAACCAAAGCAUCGCAGGUUCGAUUCCCAGUCAGGGCACGUGCCUGGGUUGCAG